GGACCCGCACAAGUAGUGGAGCAUGUGGUUUAAUUCGAAGAUACGCGCAGAACCUUACCAACACUUGACAUGUUCGUCGCGACUUUAAGAGAUUAAAGUUUUCGGUUCGGCCGGACGAAACACAGGUGCUGCAUGGCUGUCGUCAGCUCGUGUCGUGAGAUGUUGGUUAAGUCCCGCAACGAGCGCAACCCUCACUUUUAGUUGCCAUCAUUAAGUUGGGCACUCUGAAAAGAACUGCCAGUGAUAAGCUGGAGGAAGGUGGGGAUGACGUCAAGUCCUCAUGGCCCUUACGUGUUGGGCUACACACGUGCUACAAAUGGUAUCUACAAACAGGAAGCAAAACCGCGAGGUUAAG
rnacentral:rRNA from 1 species